CUUCUGCCUCAGCCUCCCGAGUAGCUGGGAUUACAGGUGCCCACAACCAUGCCCAGCUAUUUUUUUGUGUUUUUAGUAGAGACUGGGUUUCACCAUGUUGGAUUGAAUAGAAGUUUNNNNNNNNNNUGCCCUCAUUCUGGUAAACCCACAACCUUCAGCGUGGGUGUCAUGGCCAUCAGGAGCAUGUCACAGUGCUGCAGAGAUUUUGUUUAUGGCCAGCUUUGGGGCCAGUUUAUGGCCAGAUUUGGUUUUUUUUAUAAGAAUGACUUUGCUUAGGUAAGGUUAUUGGUUCCCUUAAA
rnacentral:lncRNA from 1 species